GCUCCCGGUUGACCUGUAAAAAGCCUGCUCAUCACAUCGUUUAGCCGUCCGUGCCUUCUAAGCAAGCGGGUCGCAGGUUCGAGUCCUGCCGGGGGCG
rnacentral:tRNA from 1 species